AACGAACGCUGGCGGCAGGCCUAACACAUGCAAGUCGAACGCUCGUAGCAAUACGGGAGUGGCAGACGGGUGAGUAACACGUGGGAACCUUCCCUAUGGUUCGGAAUAGCUCAGGGAAACUUGGGGUAAUACCGGAUAAGCCCUUCGGGGAAAGAUUUAUCGCCAUUGGAUGGGCCCGCGUCGGAUUAGCUAGUUGGUGAGGUAACGGCUCACCAAGGCAACGAUCCGUAGCUGGUCUGAGAGGAUGAUCAGCCACACUGGGACUGAGACACGGCCCAGACUCCUACGGGAGGCAGCAGUGGGAAUAUUGGACAAUGGGCGCAAGCCUGAUCCAGCCAUGCCGCGUGAGUGACGAAGGUCUUCGGAUUGUAAAACUCUUUUGGCGGGGACGGAUAAUGACGGUACCCGCAGAAUAAGACCCCGGCUAACUUCGUGCCAGCAGCCGCCGUAAG
rnacentral:rRNA from 1 species